GAUGAACGCUAGCGACAGGCUUAACACAUGCAAGUCGAGGGGCAGCAUAAAAGUAGCAAUACUUUGGUGGCGACCGGCGCACGGGUGAGUAACGCGUAUGCAACCUACCUAUCAGAGGGGAAUAACCCGGCGAAAGUCGGACUAAUACCGCAUAAAACUGGGGCACCGCAUGGUGAUAUUUGUUAAAGAAAUUCGCUGAUAGAUGGGCAUGCGUUCCAUUAGGUAGUUGGUGAGGUAACGGCUCACCUAGCCGACGAUGGAUAGGGGAACUGAGAGGUUGGUCCCCCACACUGGUACUGAGACACGGACCAGACUCCUACGGGAGGCAGCAGUGAGGAAUAUUGGUCAAUGGGCGGGAGCUUGAACCAGCCAAGUCGCGUGAAGGAAGAAGGAUCUAUGGUUCGUAAACUUCUUUUGCAGGGGAAUAAAGUGCAGGACGUGUCCUGUUUUGUAUGUACCCUGAGAAUAAGGAUCGGCUAACUCCGUGCCAGCCGCCGCCGUAA
rnacentral:rRNA from 1 species